rnacentral:rRNA from 1 species
CCUACGGGUGGCAGCAGUGGGGAAUCUUGCGCAAUGGGCGAAAGCCUGACGCAGCAACGCCGCGUGGGGGAUGAAGGCCUUCGGGUUGUAAACCCCUUUCAGCAGGAACGAAUCUGACGGUACCUGCAGAAGAAGGUCCGGCCAACUACGUGCCAGCAGCCGCGGUAACACGUAGGGACCAAGCGUUGUCCGGAUUUAUUGGGCGUAAAGCGCUCGUAGGCGGCUUGGUAAGUCGGGUGUGAAACCUCCAGGCUCAACCUGGAGACGCCACCCGAUACUGCUAUGGCUUGAGUUCGGUAGGGGAGCGGGGAAUUCCUGGUGUAGCGGUGAAAUGCGCAGAUAUCAGGAGGAACACCGGUGGCGAAGGCGCCGCUCUGGGCCGAAACUGACGCUGAGGAGCGAAAGCGUGGGGAGCGAACAGGAUUAGAUACCCUGGUAGU